rfam:Fukomys damarensis contig77908, whole genome shotgun sequence.
AGACUGUUUCCAUCUGACUGUGACAUUUAUCAUCCCAUUGAUUGCCAGGGUUGAUUCAGAUGAUCUGGCUGGCUAGGUGGCUGUCCCCUUCAUCCCUCAUCCCUCUAUGUGCACCCCUCCUGAAACUGCACACUAGAUGAAAGAGGACGACCAGCCCUGAUAGAGGAGGAGCAUUUCCUCAGUCAAGGGUAUAUGUGUAGCUGCACUCCCAUGCUAGAGCCUCCAAACAAGCUUUCAAGCAACUAAUUUUUUUAAAUUAAGUGGAAAGUAUACUCUAAACAUCCCCCUCUGACAGUUUCUACUAUUAACAUCUCACAUCAGUAUAG